UAGCAUGACUUGCUGACUACUCAAGUCUAUUUAGAAAACUUGAAUUUAUUUAAUUGCUAGAAACCUUCUAUCAACUUCCUGUGCAUGUAGAGGGUAAAGUCACAUAUUUAAGGAUCUUAUAUUUUUUCCAGUGGUUAAAGAAAGGUUCCAGAGGCAAGAAAUUUUCAAAGGAAAAACAGAGAUCAGGAAAAGGCUAGAGAACCACUGAGAAGGGCUGGAUCAGAUGGGCUCCCUUAUAAAGGCAGCUCAGAGAGAUCAUCUUUCUCGGUGCCCAGGUUAAGGUGUAUAAGACAGGUGGAGCAGGCUUUCACAAGUGUGGUGAUGGCAUUAUCUCUGCCACACUGCCAUAGAGAUCGGAGUCAGAGAGGAUGCUCAGCUGAUCACCCGUGAAACUUGUGCAGCUGCCUUCUUGCUCUCAAGAGGGAGGGAAUCUGAGCAGAAGAUUCCAGAUGGGAGAAGGAAUUGAGAAGGGAACAGAAGUAGGUGGUGGGCAGGCUCUCCAGGCACACAGUCUUGGAGGCAAGAGCUAGUAAAACAGACUGCAUGGGCUUUACAGAACCGGUGCAAAUGGAGACAGCUACAGCAUGCAAGGUAGAGAGCAGGUGAGUGCGGCAAGGUGACUGAGGUCUAUAGAUUAAAAAAAUGCAAUGCAAUUUUGAGAGUUUUACAUGGGAGAGUGACGUGAUCAAGUUGGCCUUUGAAAGAGCUACUCUGGCUAAGGAGGGUGAAAGGAGUGGAUGUGAGGGAAGCACUUAGGAUCUUGUUCAUUAUUCCCAGGAGUGAUCGUGGUGGCUUGGUUUGUAAAGCCCUUUUUGAUUUGAUUUGAUCAUGCCUGCCUCUCCACUCUCACUUUUCACAUUCCCCAUCCAUAUUGAGCUCUCGAAGAAGGCUCCUAUCUCACACUGUGCAACUAUUGCUUCUUUCUU